GGUGAGCCACAGAAGAAGAGAGGGAGAGAGAAAGAGACACCAGCAGCACAGCUCCACCACUUGUGCAGAUCAGUUGAGAAGAUGGAGCAAUGGUACAACAAGCUUUAUGAGAGUUUGAGGAACCUGAUCAGGGGUCUGUGAGUUCCAGGAUGGAAGAAACCACAGAGCCACCUGCAGGUGAGU